AUGAAGAACGUAGUGAAAUGCGAUACUUGGUGUGAAUUGCAGAAUCCCGUGAACCAUCGAGUCUUUGAACGCAAGUUGCGCCCGAAGCCAUUAGGCCGAGGGCACGCCUGCCUGGGCGUCACACGUCGUUGCCCCCCCAUCUACUCCUUCGGGAUUGCGGGGGGCGGAUGAUGGCCUCCCGUGCGCCUCGCCGCGCGGUUGGCAUAAAUGCCAAGUCCUCGGCGACGCACGCCACGACAAUCGGUGGUUGCGAAACCUCGGUUGCCCGUCGUGUGCGGUCGUCGCGCAUCGAGGGCUCGAAAAAAUUGCCGGGUUCCGGCUCGGCUUUCAACGCGACCCCAGGUCAGGCGGGGUUACCCGCUGAAUUUAAGCAUAUCAAUAAGCGGAGGA
rnacentral:misc_RNA from 1 species